UGGGGAAUAUUGGACAAUGGAGGAAACUCUGAUCCAGCCAUUCUGUGUGUGUGAAGAAGGUUUUAGGACUGUAAAACACUUUUAGUAGGGAAGAAAAAAAUGACGGUACCUACAGAAGAAGCAACGGCUAAAUACGUGCCAGCAGCCGCGGUAAUACGUAUGUUGCGAGCGUUAUCCGGAAUUAUUGGGCUUAAAGGGCAUCUAGGCGGUAAGACAAGUUGAAGGUGAAAACCUGUGGCUCAACCAUAGGCUUGCCUACAAAACUGUUGAACUAGAGUACUGGAAAGGUGGGUGGAACUACACGAGUAGAGGUGAAAUUCGUAGAUAUGUGUAGGAAUGCCGAUGAUGAAGAUAACUCACUGGACAGAAACUGACGCUGAAGUGCGAAAGCUAGGGGAGCAAACAGG
rnacentral:rRNA from 1 species